rnacentral:tRNA from 1 species
GGGCCUCUAGCUCAGUUGGUUAGAGCGUGCCCUGAUAAGGGCAAGGUCGGUGGUUCAAGUCCACCGAGGCCCA